rnacentral:rRNA from 1 species
GAGUUUGAUCGUGGCUCAGGACUAACGCUGGCGGCGUGCCUAACACAUGCAAGUCGAACGAAGCAGCAAUGCUUAGUGGCAGACGGGUGAGUAACGCGUAGAUAAUGUGCCCUCUUGCGGGGGGAUACCGUUUCGAAAGGAACGUUAAUACCGCAUAACACCUUCGAUGGGCAUCCAUUGAAGGUCAAAAUUUCCGGAGCGAGAGGAGCAGUCUGCGUACUAUCAGCUAGUUGGUGAGGUAAUGGCUCACCAAGGCUACGACGGUUAACUGGUCUGAGAGGAUGAUCAGUCACACUGGAACUGAGACACGGUCCAGACUCCUACGGGAGGCAGCAGUGAGGAAUACUGCGCAAAUGGGCGAAAAGCCUGACGCAGCGACGCCGCGUGGAGGAUG